rnacentral:sRNA from 1 species
UGGCAACUUUCACUGGGCGGUGAAAGGUCAGUUGAGAACAACAAGCAAUAACAACCAUACGAAGAAUCUAGCAAACUCUACUUUACUUCUCCUUUUCGUGGUCCUGGAAAGAAGAAGACUUUACUUCUCCUUUUCGUGGUCCUGGAAAGAAGAAGACUUUACUUCUCCUUUUCGUGGUCCUGGAAACAGCUCAGAAUAAAGUAGAUCUGGACCUCUACAGAAGAGAGGGAGCUCCGGAUUCCAGAUAGGGUUUCACUCUGUUGUCCAGGCUGGAGUGCAGUGGCUCAAUCACAGGUCACCAUAGCCUUGACCUCCUGGGGUUCAGGUGAUCCUCCCAUCUCAGCCUCCCGAGUAGCUGGGGCUACAGGUCUUUUGCUCCACAUGAUAUUGACUGUGAUCAUCUGGAGGGUCCGUGGUUCCAGUGACUUAGCAUCAAAGAUGGCCUAACACACACGUCUGGUGCCUCUGCUGGGAUGGCUGAAGCAGAUGGAGGCUGGCCAGCUACUCAGGAGGCGGAGGCAAAUAAUCGCUUGAACCCGGGAGGCAGAGGUUGCAGUGAGCCGAGAUUGCACCAUUGUACUACAGCCUGGGCAACAGAGCGAGACCCUGUUUCAAAG